GAUUCCUCUUGAGCCCUGUGCAUGGCACCACCCAGGGUCAGGCAGCACCAAAACACGCGCUUGCGCAUAACUGGGGUCAACUGCUCCCGCCCAGGCCCUCUUAACUGCAAGUGACAGGG